UCCCAGCCAGAACGGAGCUUAAGCCGGGCAGGCGAGCGAAUGACGGAGUAGCGAGCUGCACGGCGGCGUGCUGCGCUGUUGAGGACGCUGUCCCGCGCGCUCCCAGGCCGCCCCGAGGCUUGGGGUCUUCGAAGGAUAAUCGGCGCCCGGGGCCGAACAGCGGGGGCACACGGGGCGCUGCCGAAGUGCAAGGCCACGGCCAGAGCUCGAGCCCGACGCGCUGUCUGGAGUCGUAGGUUGGCGCCGUUUGGGGUCGGGGUCUGAGGCUUGGGCGCUGCCUGGGCCGAGCGGAGAUCGGGGUUUGCCUCCCGUCCCCGCUCAGGACCCUGACGUGGCUGAAGCGGCCCCGGGAGCAUGAGCGGGCAGCGCGUGGACGUCAAGGUGGUGAUGCUGGGCAAGGAGUACGUGGGCAAGACUAGCCUGGUGGAGCGCUACGUGCACGACCGCUUUCUGGUGGGGCCUUAUCAGAACACCAUCGGGGCCGCCUUCGUGGCCAAGGUGAUGUCGGUCGGAGACCGGACUGUGACAUUAGGUAUUUGGACCUCACAGACAGCAGCAGCUUUGAGCGAGCAAAGUUCUGGGUGAAGGAACUGCGCAGCCUAGAGGAGGGCUGCCAAAUCUACUUAUGUGGCACCAAGAGUGACCUGCUGGAAGAAGACCGGAGGCGUCGACGUGUGGACUUCCACGACGUCCAGGACUAUGCAGACAGUAGCUGCUCCUCAGCCCUUUGGGGGGUGGGGGUGUGUGGCUGUCUGGGUGGAUCAAAGAAAAUAGGGACUGCCUUGGCUGCCAGGGCAAGGUGCUCUAGGAGGUCUUCCUGGCCUCCUUGAACUGUGGGGUCCAGGAGACUCCCUGAACUGCUAGCCCUCC
rnacentral:lncRNA from 1 species